rnacentral:rRNA from 1 species
AUUGAACGCUGGCGGCAUGCCUUACACAUGCAAGUCGAACGGUAACAGCUCUUCGGAUGCUGACGAGUGGCGAGCGGGUGAGUAAUACAUCGGAACGUGCCUAGUAGUGGGGGAUAACUACUCGAAAGAGUGGCUAAUACCGCAUGAGAUCUACGGAUGAAAGCAGGGGAUCGCAAGACCUUGUGCUACUAGAGCGGCCGAUGGCAGAUUAGGUAGUUGGUGGGAUAAAAGCUUACCAAGCCGACGAUAUGUAGCUGGUCUGAGAGGACGAUCAGCCAAAAUGGGACGGAGAAACGGCCCAGACUCCUACGGGAGGCAGCAGUGGGGAAUUUUGGAAAAUGGGCGCAAGCCUGAACCAGCAAUGCCGCGUGCAGGAUGAAGGCCUUCGGGUUGUAAACUGCUUUUGUACGGAACGAAAAGCCCCGGGUUAAUACCCUGGGGUCAUGACGGUACCGUAAGAAUAAGCACCGGCUAACUACGUGCCAGCCGCCGCAGUAA